CGCGCGCCCGGGGCGGGGACCCGCUCCCCUUGCUGGGCGCUCCCUCGCGGCGCAGUGCAGUGCCGGGGCCGCGGGCAGGGAGCCCCCAGGCAAGACUUCAGGUCGUUACUAGCUUUGAAGUAAGACUUUUCCUGUCCCCUGCCCCUGAGCCUCGGGGGCCCGGACUCUCCCUGACCGCAGAGCUAUGGGUCACCCAAAUCCGGCGCUGGCCUGGCUCUACCAAGUCCGCUGCUCGCCGGCCAGAGUGUGGGCGUCCUUCCUCCGGAGCCUCGCCAAAGCUGGCGUGGCGCUUCUCCGCUGACAGCUCUCCUCACUUCACAGUCUUUGGGUAUUUAAAGUCAUCGUGGUAACCCAUCCCCUGAUCUGGAUGCCUUUAAUUUUCUUAUGAAUUUACUGCGCUAGAGACGUUCAUUCCUUAAAACGCAUUGACUGGGGUCGCGCUUGGCUCAGGGCGCUGUCCCAGGCUCCUUGUCGCCCAAGUAUCCCAAAGCUCCCAUCCCUGCCCGCGCGGCCGGGUCAGUGAGCCCGCGCUGUUUGGAGGACGCCCAAAGAUUGCUGCCAGCGAGGAAGGCAUUCGGGCUCCCGACUGGAGUUCCAGGUCCUGGAAGAACGACUGGGAGUUGAAAGGUUACGCUCCAGGCCGGGGCUCCAUCGCGCGUUUGCAACCAUCAGACAGAGGGCCCAGACAGGAUCUUCCUAAGACGGACUGCCUCAGCCCCCAUAGCUAAGCUGUGAAAACACUCUCAGUUUUAGGAGCAGAAUGGAAGUCACUCCAUCAGAAUAAAGCGUUUGUGGAGCUACGCUGGCGAUUCCUAAAACCCUGAAAAUCCUCUCUCAGGACGGCGAAUUGAGGUUGUUCUCUCCGUGCACAUUUGCGCAGUAGAAAUGGAUGGCUGGUUCGCUGAUCUGUCCGCAGCAGCAAAAAAAAAAAAUCUUUAACAAGGGAACUUGAAAGGUCCAACUUCAGGCACAUGUGGAUUCAGAGGUUCCAGUGAUGUCAGAAGUAGAGCUAGAGUCUCAGCAUUGCCCACCCCCUCCUCUCCUCUCUGCUUUCUUCUGUGGGCUUCCUUGUUAAGGUGACUGACUUAACACCGUGGUACCUGGCAGCUCCAGGAUUAUCUUCUCCUCAGGGGUCAGGAUCUAAGAAUGAGGUUUGGCAUUUGAAGAUGAUUUGGGUCACAAUGAGCCUGCAAAAAGAGGACUUAAAAUGCUACCUCUUUGAUUACUCCAUCCUGAGCUGUCAUCCAGAAAAUUUUACUGAGUUUCAGCAAUAUGCAUCCCUUCUUUUGCCCCUCAUGAUUCACAGGAAGUGCUUGUUUUUCCAUUUUCUGCAUGAUUUUGACCACUGUAAGAGUUUUAAUGGAUUCUUCCUUUACCAAGAAGAGCUCAUUGACUUUCGUGCACUCAAGGAAAUGUAUCAUGUCUUCUUUUAAAACAUGAAUCAGACAGUCCAUUUCUUAGCCAGAAGAUUGAUGAGUUUAUACUGGCAAGGAAAGGAUAUGUCCUGA
rnacentral:lncRNA from 1 species